rnacentral:rRNA from 1 species
CCUACGGGUGGCAGCAGUAGGGAAUCUUCCACAAUGGGCGAAAGCCUGAUGGAGCAACGCCGCGUGGGUGAAGAAGGUCUUCGGAUCGUAAAACCCUGUUGUUAGAGAAGAAAGUGCGUGAGAGUAACUGUUCACGUUUCGACGGUAUCUAACCAGAAAGCCACGGCUAACUACGUGCCAGCCGCCGCGGUAAUACGUAGGUGGCAAGCUUUAUCCGGAUUUAUUGGGCGUGAAGGGAACGCAGGCGGUCUUUUAAGUCUGAUGUGAAAGCCUUCGGCUUAACCGGAGUAGUGCAUUGGAAACUGGGAGACGUGAGUGCAGAAGAGGAGAGUGGAACUCGAUGUGUAGCGGUGAAAUGCGUAGAUAUAUGGAAGAACACCAGUGGCGAAAGCGGCUCUCUGGUCUGUAACUGACGCUGAGGUUCGAAAGCGUGGGUAGCAAACAGGAUUAGAUACCCCUGUAGUC